rnacentral:rRNA from 1 species
UACGUAGGGUGCGAGCGUUCAUCGGAAUUCCUGGGCGUAAAGCGUGCGCAGGCGGCUUUGCAAGACAGAUGUGAAAUCCCCGGGCUUAACCUGGGAACUGCAUUUGUGACUGCAUGGCUGGAGUGCGGCAGAGGGGGAUGGAAUUCCGCGUGUAGCAGUGAAAUGCGUAGAUAUGCGGAGGAACACCGAUGGCGAAGGCAAUCCCCUGGGCCUGCACUGACGCUCAUGCACGAAAGCGUGGGGAGCAAACAGG